GCACCAAAUUAUGUAGCCCAGAAAUUUGAGUAUGCAAAAAUUACUGCAAAAAUCUAUUAGUAACCCAGAAGUGCUGAAAAGAGUCUAGACAGUAGGCACGAUCUUGUCGAUCCUAAUCCAUCUUCUCCGCAGAGAAAAAAUUUAGUAGGUGGCUUAUCGUUUACAGCACAUAUUGAUGUCUCUAAUAUCAAAUGUUGCUCAUCUCCAUUACAAAGGAGGCACUAACCUAGUUUGAGCUGCUCCGAUCCCCUUAAAACAUAUUUUUGCCAUAGUUGGUAUGAUUCUCGAGGACGAAG
rnacentral:lncRNA from 1 species